UUGAAUACAAAUUGGAUAGUGAAGUUCGGAUAUUUGAGAUUGACCUAUCUUUUAAAAUAUUUUGCUUAAUAUAUAUAUAUAUAUAUAUAUAUUAGCUUAAUAUGCUCGCUCAUUCUUUUUCACAUAUCAAACCAGCAGCUAUCAAAUUGAGCAGGUAGCACGUAUGACUCUUAUUUUAUGUAUCAACUCUUUCUAUCAAACUAUCGUCAAGUCUCUCCCUUGUCUCUAGAAGUUUCAUAUUGACUCUCUACCAAAGUUUCGGCUUUUGAGCUUUUCUUUGAGCUGUCGUUGGGUCUCUGGACCGCUACCACUCACCUCACCAUUUUUUCCUUCUCCUUUUUUAGACGAAAUAAUCUCAAGACCUCGCCUUUUCAUUUACUCUCCGUUCAGCCUUAGGCCGUCCGGGAAAGGCUGCCUAGGAUCUUGCUCGCCCCAUGAGUUUUCGUUCGUGGUUCGCUGGUUCUUAUCCUAUUGGUAUUUUGCUUUUGACGAUAUUUUAGUGAAGCUCUUUCGCUCUCACGAUGUUGCGGUGUCGACAUCUCUCUACGUCUCCAUUAGCUUGAACACCGAUGGCAAGUUGAAGUCAUCGCACUAGGUCUCAUUUUGCUGGUUGUUGUUGCUCCCUCCUCCUCGGUGUUUUCAGUUGGCUCCUCAAUUGCUUUGGCAUCGUUUUUUUUUAUGUGGGCUUCACAUGGCAAGGUCUUUGCCGGAAGCACGCAUGCUGAUGGUUGGUUGCAACUGACCAUUUUCUAGUGAUAUGAUUUAUCUGAAAAAUAAAAAUAAAAAACACUUUCAAACUCUUUAGUAUUUUAAAGUAACUUGCCUUCCUAGUUCACUUAUACCCUUUAUUAACUUGACAAUUGAAGCGGAUCAUGGAGCAUAAGCUCCAAAAUUUCCAGAAUUUAGGGGUAUCACCAAGAGAUAGAUAGCGGCCUUGGUCCCUAUAGUUUUU
rnacentral:lncRNA from 1 species